CGCAUAUUUACACUUACGCGGCGUAUCUCGAGAUACGUCGGCGUAAGUGCUUUGUGAAUCCGGGCCUUUAUAUAAGCCACUGAAAACGACUUGAGAUGGGUCGAAAUGCUUACGAUAGAUGAAAGCCAUUAUUAGAUGCCAUUUAUUUGUAUUUGGAUGAUGCUUCAAGAACUUGGAAUAUAACACAGAUCCAGAUUGAUCUGACAUGCACUCUACUGGUAAGAUCCGGGUUUAUGGAGGUCGUUGGCGCGGUGGAAUAAUCCUGUUAUAAGUGAAUAGGACACCAUGAAAACACAUUGAAAACCCUAAAUGCUGUACCAUUGAUGAAGAAAGUUUGAGAACUUGCAUCAGACAGUUGUUGCCAAGGUUCCUGAAAUUUAAAAGGGUUUUAUGCUAGUCUGUUGCCAGGACAUUCUCCUCCAUGGGCUUCGGUAUUGAUUAAUGCAGCACAUCCCUGUCACCAUAGCUGUGCUGAGAAGUCAAAGGAGGAGCUGGACUACCUUCUGUGGCUGGCAAAGUACUAGUCACAAGGAAGUCUUCUCAUAAUAAAAUCUUAUAACGUAUAAUGUUAACCAGGAGAGAGAGAGGCAACCCUGGUGGCCAGGGGUUUGGAACUCCUUGACUACCCAGAGUGGCAAAGGGCAACAGGAAUAGCAGGUUUGUCUGUACAGGUUGAGCUCAGAGAUAAAUUCCACAUACUGGUACUAUGAGCCAGGAGUAAACUUUCAUGAUCUGGGCCUGAAUGCAAGAUUAAUACACCACAUGGAUAGUGUAAUUAUAUCAUCAUGCACUUUUGGUGAUGCUAUCAUGUUUUACAUUCAUUCAGGCCUCCACAUACGAUCCUAUGGAUAAGUUGGCUGCAGAUGGCCUCCAUUCACUAAGGCCUCGUUUCCACUGAGCGAAUCGGUUCGGGUUGGUUCGGUACGGUACGCUAUUUUGAGUGUUUCCAUUAUGAAAGCGGUCCAUACAACCGAACCAUACCGCACCAUUCAGGGUCCUGCUUCAGAUUUGGGGCCAUAGAAAAUGGUAGGGUUCGGUUAGGGCAGAGCUACUGGCGUCACACAAUACAUUCCACUGAUUGGCGGACAGAAAAAUGUCAAUGCUCACGUCAAAAGAAAGCAAAACAAACACCACGUCGCCGUUCAGUCCAGAUAAUAGGUCUGACUGGCAGUGGAAACGCUCACCUGAAUAGGCCGGACCAUUCUAACCCUUCCAAACUGUACCGACCCAAACCAUUUCGCUCAGUGGAAACGAGGCACAAGUGUAAUUUAAAACCUUAAACACAUGGAUUAUGUGGAAGCAUCUCUCUUAGCACAGGAGUUAGAAGUCCCAGGUCAUUCCUAGCCUUGUGGGCAGAUGGUAAAUAAUUGAAACCACUUUAGGGGCCUCUUCAUAUGGUCCUAUGGAUAGGUUGGCUUCAAAUGGCCUCCAUUACAUUCACACCUGAGAGUUUUGUAGCUUGAAGCUUGAAUACGCUCAACAAGUAAAAUCCCACUAAUUUCGAUGGCCCCUGUUCACACUCAGAUGCUGCCCUAAGAGAAAUGUGCCUCCACACAAUCCAUGUGUUUAAGAAGGUUGAGGGUUUUCUAGCUCGAAGACUUGUUGUGUGUCUUUGAGCUAGAUAACACUCAACCUUCUUAAACAUGGAUUGUGUGGAGGCAUCUCUCUAAGCAUAGGAGUUGGUAGCCCCAGGCCCUUCCUAGCCUUGUGGGAAGAUGGUAAAUAAUUGAAACCACUUUAGGGGCCUCCACAUAUGGUCCUAUGGAUAGGUUGGCUUCAGAUGACCUCCACUACAUUCACACUUGAGCGUUUUGUAGCUCAAAGACUCUCAACAAGCUAAAUCUUAUUCAUUUUAAUGGCCCCGCUUUAAGCUCAAAUGUAAACACAGGGGCCAUUGAAAUGAACAGGGCUUGUUACUUACUUGUUGAGUGUCUUUGAGCUAGAAAACGCUCAACCUUCUUAAACACAUGGAUUAUGUGGAGACAUCUCUCUUAGCACAGGAGUUAGAAGUCCCAGGCCAUUCCUAUCUUUGUGGGCAGAUGGUAAAUAAUUGAAACCACUUUAGGGCCUCAACAUGUGGUCCUAUGGAUAGGUUGACUUCAGACGAUCUUCACUAAAUUCACACCUGAGAGUUUUGUAGCUCAAAGACUCUCAACGAGCUAAAACCCAUUCAUUUUAAUGGCCCCACUUCACACUCAAAUUUGAACAGGGGCCAUUGAAAUGAACAGGGCUUUGCUUGUUGAGCGUCUUCGGACUAGAAAACGCUCAACCUUCUUAAACACAUGAAUUGUGUGGAGGCACGUUUCUCUUAGGACAGCAUGUUGAGUGUCUUCGAGCUAGAAAACGCUUAACCUUCUUAAACACAUGAAUUGUGUGGAGGCACGUUUCUCUUAGGACAGCAUGUUGAGUGUCUUUGAGCUAGAAAACGCUCAACCUUCUUAAACACAUGAAUUGUGUGGAGGCACGUUUCUCUUAGGACAGCAUGUUGAGUGUCUUCGAGCUAGAAAACGCUCAACCUUCUUAAACACAUGAAUUGUGUGGAGGCACGUUUCUCUUAGGACAGCAUGUUGAGUGUCUUCGAGCUAGAAAACGCUCAACCUUCUUAAACACAUGAAUUGUGUGGAGGCACGUUUCUCUUAGAAAACGCUCAACCUUCUUAAACACAUGGAUUGUGUGGAGGCACGUUUCUCUUAGGACAGCAUGUUGAGUGUCUUCGAGCUAGAAAACGCUCAACCUUCUUAAACACAUGAAUUGUGUGGAGGCACGUUUCUCUUAGGACAGCAUGUUGAGUGUCUUCGAGCUAGAAAACGCUCAACCUUCUUAAACACAUGGAUUAUGUGGAGACAUCUCUCUUAGUACAGGAGUUAGAAGUUCCAGGCCAUUCCUAUCUUUGUGGGCAGAUGGUAAAUAAUGGAAAGCACUUUAGGGCCUCAACAUGUGGUCCUAUGGAUAGGUUGACUUCAGAUGAUCUUCACUACAUUCACACCUGAGAGUUUUGUAGCUCAAAGACUCUCAACGAGCUAAUUCCCAUUCAUUUUAAUGGCCCCACUUCACGCUCAAAUUUGAACAGGGGCCAUUGAAAUGAACAGGGCUUUGCUUGUUGAGCGUCUUCGGACUAGAAAACGCUCAACCUUCUUAAACACAUGAAUUGUGUGGAGGCACGUUUCUCUUAGAAAACGCUCAACCUUCUUAAACACAUGGAUUGUGUGUAGGCACGUUUCUCUUAAGACAGCAGUUCGUAGCUCCAGGCCAUUCCAAGACUUGUGGGCAGAUGGUAAAUAACUGAAACCACUUUAAGGCAUAUCCCAACCUAAACUUAAAUGUGCUUUGGCUAGAGGCCAAGUACACACUAUGGAAGGAUAUGCCUUGGUCAUUUUUCAUCCUGGAGGUUUACAACCACUUGAACAUUAAACCACUUAUAAUGGAAGACUAUUCAGUAUUACUGUUGAAGGAAUGGACAGUGUGCCCUUGUGUGAGGCUUGAGUUCUCCAGCGCAUUUAGGUCAGGCUGAAAUCACCAAACAAGUUGCCUUUAUGCACUUCAGGUGCAAAAAAAAUAAAAAUAAAAAUCACAGUUCUAUGUAAUGUAUUUUCGGAAUGCACUGACAGUGCUCUAUGAAUUGUAUACAGAUUAAACCUACUAGAGCAUUGUGGCCACACCACUGCAAAGACCAAUGCCUCACUGGCCUCAUUAACCAUCGGGCAUAUCCUCUGUUUCUUUGAAGCUUUGAUUCUGAGGUUACGUUACACAUUAGCCUGGAGGUCUUAUGUCCGUUCACUGCCCUAGGCUUCUUCACAUUCCUUUUUUUUUUUUUGCUAUGUUCAGGGAUUUAUUAUGUGUUUUUGAGGGCAAAAGAAACUCCCAUUAUAUUCAUAAUGGCUGACCAUUAGCAGCAUUAUGAUGUCACCGGGUUUUACAGUUUCAGCCCUCUGAUUGGUCACAGGCUUGGUACUCUUUUUUUUUUUUUUAUUACUGCAUGACAACUCGAGACUUUUGGACGGUGCUACACAAUACCUUUCUGUGUUAAUGUUCCCAUUUGUAUGCACUCUGUGAGUGCCUCACGACCGCUACAAAAACUUUUUUCUUUUUUUUAAGUUCUAGACCAUUAGCACCCUCCCCGUUUUUAUUGAGGUUUGUAUAUUUAAUGAGCAUCCUUUUCUCUGUUACAGAAGUCUCCCUAGUGUAAGUGUUUUUUUGUUUUUGUCGAUUUUUUUAUGCCUAUUGGACUGCAGUCUUUUUGUUAUUUGGUGGGACUUCUACCCUUAACUGGGAAAUCAUGCUCAACUUAGACGAAUGGCCACAAUCCUAAUAAAACAGUGGCCUGCAUCCACCAAAGGUCAAACAAUAAAUACGUUUUAAAGGCAUUAUCAGUGUUUAAUAAUCAUUUGAUUAUUCAGUCUGAAUAUUGUUUAUAAUCUUUAUUAUUUGAUGCAGGGAAUAAAUACAAAUGAAUGGGAUCACUAAAA